CCCUGGCUUGGUCAAAAUUGACUCUCUGUUGGUCAAAAUUGACUCUCUGUCUGAAAGGAGGAAUAGACACUGUGGCCUUGUUAAAUCCAACAGGCUGCCUAUUAGUGUACAUUAAAAGAGACAAAGUCUAGAUUAAAAUGAGAAGAAGACUGGACUUGUCUUUGUUUCUCAUUAUUGAGGACCAUAUUAUAGACAUUGUCAAGAGAAGGAGGAGGCUGCAUCAUCAAAAGAUUACU
rnacentral:lncRNA from 1 species